UGGAGAGUGCAAACAACAAUCACCCUGUGCCUUUACUUGGUGUGUCAGGAAUACUGUGGUGUCCUUGAAGAGAGAAGUAUGAAAGGAAGCAAUUGAGGGUACAGCUGCCUGGUGUUGGAAGCUGAUCUGAAAUCCGUGUUAGACUCCAACCCUCGUGGUGCUCCUGCCCGCCCCCACCUCAUGACAGCACUGUACCACCGAGCAAUCAGACACAUUGCGGAUUGUUCUGCUAAAAAUCAAUUAUUUUCCAGUGGGUUUGGCUUUUAAUAGGAUGAAGUCCAUGAUCUGGCUGACCACAGUGAAGAAUCUGGGAGUUCUCAUCUGGGAGCAAAGAAACGGGAGGAGUUUUCUCCUUUCAAUGGCAGUCCAGCCUUAGGUGAUGAAGCCAUGGCUCUGAGACAAUUCAGCAAACCAAUUGCAGUAUUUGGCCUGAGUACUUUGCUAAAGAGACACAUUGGAAAGACAAGACUGCAGAAGAGGUGCUAAGAAAAUACAUCUGCCCUGAUUUGCAGUCAGCCUAGAAUCUGCAUUGUAUUCCCUGUGCUCUGAAGGGGCACUCAGCAAGGCAGAGCAUUUUAUUAGUAUAUGAGAAAGAGGUUUAUAUGGGAAAGGUGUUUCUUUCCUAGACAGAAAAAUAUUAGAGAGAAUGCAGAUUCACUAAUAUCUGCAUUGCAGCAGACAGGUGCAAUGAUUUGGGACCACCCAUCUUCAGUUUGGAUUAAAAUUUGACCCAAAUACUUCCUUAAAACAUCUGCUAGAAACUGUGCUGAGUUUCUGUACAAUGUAAAAAAAAAAAAAAAUUAAAAAAAUAAAAUCACAAAAUAUUAGCACUCAUCUGGCCAUAUUAACUAUUCCCUUAUAACUUAAUAUUUAGUGUUGCAUAUAUAAAGUCUAACACUGCAAUAAUAAAUCUUCGCACUAUAAAUACACUGACUUGCAAGCCCUGACGUUUUAAAAGCACAGUUCUAUUCUGAGCUGGAACAAUAUGUUGUCCUUGGGAGCCUAUUUUAAAGCUUUUCUUUCGGUACAGGUUUUCUUUGCUCGAUGUUUUGUCACCAGAAUGUAAUGCUCCUACUGACAGUGGCAGCAAGAGCAGAGAAGGGUUUUUUGCACAGAAGGUUUUUUGUUUGUUUAUUUGCUUGUUUGUACAUAUAAACAUCAUUGAAUGCCUGCAAUUUCAUUUGAAGGACAAGAAGAGGUCUUCAGCUCCUCACACAAGCUAAGUGCUAGAAAAUUGUUGUACUUAUAGUAUGUGCCUGUCUGCCCACUCAUCUCUUACUCACUUUUCUUGUCUUUAAUCAGACCCUGUUGUUACCGAGUAACAGUUUCCUCUGCUGGAGUUAAAAAAAAAAAAAAAAAAAAAAAGGAUAAAAAACCCCUGCUGUAAAUUAUUAGCACUCCAGGAUUCUUAGAUAAUACUGUUUCCCUUUAAUUUCAUAUUACCUCCCAUUCCUCAAACAACGCAGGGAAUAAGAAAGAAAAAGAUUUUUUUACAGGAAAUCUCUUCUUACGUAGCGCAGUUGCGUGAGCAUGGCCGGGACGUGUGUACCAUAGAGGUCCCAGAUGCAUACAGUCAACGUGCCUCCAGCUGGGAGCUUCCUGCAAACCCCAGGGAAAUGCCACCUGCAUGUUAAGCAGGCAAGGCACUCCCUGGAGAUUGCCUCUCCAGCUAGGAUUUCUCCUUAACGAGAAGGGGGGAGAAGGAAGGGUUCUGAAUUAUAAAGGCAGAAUGGGAAGCCCCUGAAGUGACAAAAUGCUGAAUUAUUCAUUGUGCAGUUUCUAAUUGUUCUUGAAGUUAGCGGUGCCGUUUGUAGCUAAAUCAGCUCAAUGUUGCUGUUUUCCCCUGCUCUCCCUCCUUCCUUAGGACUAGAGAAGGGAGGGAGAAGGAAAGACCUCCCUGAAAUGCUCAUAUCAGCCCUGCUGCAGCGCUUGUCGUGCGCUGAGCCAGAACUGAGAACCAAAUGCACGCUGAAAACUAAAUGUUGCCAAUUAUUCAUAGGCAUACAUUAUAAUCUCAAUUCUGAUAUUUAAUAGAGUUUCUCAUUAAAGGUCACAGCAAUUGCUGCUAGAGAUCAGACGAAGCUAACCUGGUGUCCUAUUUUUCACAGUGGGUAGCUGGCAUUAAGUGCUUCAGAGACAGCAGCAAGAAACCCAGUGUUGGACAAUUAUGGGCUAAACUGUCCAUGAGGAAAAUAUUUUCCUGUCCUUCAUGAGCUAGUGGCUGGACAACGCCUGGAUGCAUAGUGGUGUGCAUACCAUUAAAGGAAGAGAAUCACAAUUACGCAUGGCAUUAUCCAGAUUAACCUGCAGUUCCAGUUUGAAUAUGACCGAAGUCUUGGUCACAGUGACAUCAGACAAUAACAGCUCAUUCCAUAAACUAAAAAAAAAACAAAAGAAUAAAUUACAUUUCAGAUUUUUUUUUCUUUUUUUUAAAUUUAUGUCUGUUACGCCCUACAUAAGUAGAACAGCUAAUUAGGGCCAUCCAGUUGACAUUGUCUUUGCCUGUCAUUAUUAUACGUGCCUUCAUCAUUUCACAUCUUGAAACCAUGUUUCCCCAUCUAAAUUAAACUAUUCCUAAUCAUUGAAUCCCACAUUUCUGUUUUCUGAAUCAUUUCUGUCAUCUGGCUCUGAAUUCCUUCUGUUUUUACUGUAGCCUUUUGAGAUGGGAAGAUUAGGACUCAUUGAUUCAUGUAAUGGCAUUAUACAUGCUAACAUGUUGUUUCCUUUUUGACCACCAAUGCAGAAUGAGCAAAGGUCAAUUAAUCUGACACCACUGCUUAUCCUUUCAAUCAAUAUUCCCUCAUUGUUUCCUUGUUCCCCCACAUCUGCCUGUCUGUUAUUACACACGGAUUGCAAGGUCUUUCUGGCUGGAGACUUUUUACUCUAUCUGUGUAACGCAUGAGCACAGCCGCGGCCCAGGCAGGGUCUGGAGGUUCUGUUGCAAUAUAAAUAGUUAAUAUACAAAUGGCAAAUAAUAAAGGGUUCACAUUGGUGCCCUAGGUUUAUAUUCACUUUUUUUUUUAUUUUUCCCAGAGUGACUUCAGUUAAUUUAGAACCCAGUAAUGUGUAUAAAUCAAAUUAUUUACUGGAAUAUGCAUUACUUAGCAUUUAUCUUUAUUGAAUUUCAUUUGCCGUCAAGCCGCACAUCCAAAUCGUUAGAUUCCCUAAAUCUAUUAAAUAUAAAGACACAGACAUGUCUUCUGUCUUGGGAAGUGUCUUUGCUGCAGAUAGCUAGAAGCUAGGAGGAUAUACCAAGGGAAGUAUUAAUGUUUGCCCUUCUUCUCAGUAUGCUCUUUCCCUAUAUGUUUGCUAUCAGAAAUGGGGUACUGGACAAAGCUGAUCUAUAAUCUGACCCAGUAUAGCUGUUUUUAUGAUCUUAGGUCUUCCUGCAUCUUCCUGAGUUGGUUAAUGUUAGUACCUGUGGCAUAUACAGACUUUGUCACCUCAUUUCUCCUUCCUUUUACGUCAACAUUUUUAACCGUAUAUAAAAGAAAUGAAAGGUCAGGCAACAUCACUUUUAAUUUUUUUUUUCUUGAUGAAAUUUGAAUACCUUUUCUACCCCUUACCUGGUUUUUAAUCUAUGACAUUACUUUUCCUGAAAACCAAUCGUUAUUUAGUUCCCUAAAUUCUUCCCAUGUGGGAUUUAGCAAACACUUUGAAAAUCAGAUAAAAUGUUUCCAACUUUGGUUUGCCUACUAUUUUGUUUACAUACACUGGGAACUCUCUGGGAUCAAAAAACCAUCAUAUUUAUCUGUGAAGUCAAGAUUGUUUAUCUUGUGCACACCAGGAAGUUUUAUAAAUUAUAUUUUAAUUACUAUUUCAGUCAAUGUAUCUGUGAUUCAAAGAAAACUUGUCAGUAUUCAGUGUUCAAGAUCUUUCUCAAAGCAAUUUUAGUUAGAUAGAGUUCAGCCCCUCAAACACUCACACAGCCUUUAGGAUUCAGAACUACGAAAGACUUUAAUGAGACGUUCCAAACCUCUGUUAUACACUCAGCAGCUUCACUCCCAAACUCCAGAACUCAGACACACACACCAUCCUGUGCUCGGCAGCUGCUGCUCGUCAGUCCAUCAAUCUGCAUGAGUGCCUUUGUUUCUAAUAGUACCUGAUCUUUAUUAUUUUUCAAGGGGCGAUCCGCUGCAAGGGUAGCAAUCAUUUAUCUUCCCUGUAAUGUUCUUUUUAAUUGCUUCUCCCUGAUAUUCAUGCAAACCUACCAAUUAACUCUCUAGAAGCUUUCUUGUUUACAGUUUAGCACAAAAUGUUAUUUAUUUUUUCUCUAUUUAGCUAUUUGCUAUUCAAAAUCUAUCUUACCAACUCCGCCUUUUCAUCUUCUGUUUUAUGUGUGACAUUACGUGAGUUCCAUACUCGGAAAGACAUCUGUUUGACUGGAGCAAUCUCAAGAGCCUUGCCUGGUACCCAUGCUACCCUCCCUUCCAAAACAGAGGCACCCAAACUUUUGACUACUUGCCAGCGCUGUACACUGUUUGCUGUUUAAUACCUGUAGUUGCUGCACAUCCAGCAUGGCCUCAGGAUCCCAGGAUUGUUAGUUCUCAGUACACAAGAGUGGGUUCAGCACUGAAGAGCCAUAUGCAAAGGCUGUGCCUCAGAGCUACAUGCUAACACACAAUCACAGGUGAUGUUCUACCCGAAGAUCCAUGUACUCAGAUAGGAGAUCUCCAAGAAAUGACUGGAUAAUUUCAGAAGUAAUACAUUCUAAUCACUAAUGACCACUUUUUUUUUUUUUUUCUUCUUUUUUUUUUUCAUCUAUUCAUGCUGGAUUUUCUCUGCCCAUGAUAAAGGAGACUUUUGCCAUUCCCUUCAGUAGUGGGAAGGAAGAACCCUAAAACAGUAUUAAUUCAAAGUGAACAGAAAAGAGCUUUGUUUCUGAGUCUAAUGGUAUCUAUCUCAGGACUUUCCAGGGCUCGUUUAAUAAAAAACUUUUUAGAUACCUUAGAAAUUCUGUAAUUAAAAAUUAAUUAAUUUCUUACAGUUAUUAUUUAAACAUUUCUGUGUCCACCAAACUAUACCUGUGACAUAUUUGAGACAAUAAAUAUCAGUCCAAAUGAAAAUGUUCAUAUAUUUCUCAAUCAUUUACACGAUACAGAGCUAGGUAUACUUAAUUGAGUACCAUGAUGAUAAUGCAAAACAAAAAAUAAAACAAACAAACAAACAAAUCCCAAGUUGUUUCAUGUGGUAAAGAAAGCAGUUUAUUAACAUCUACUUACAUGUGCAUUUUUUUAACCUUGCCCUAGUCUAGGGAAUAGCUUAAUGAUACCUCAUUCUAAACCACACACACACACACACAAAAGUUCUUAACUGAUAAAAAACAGCAAAAAUGUUCCAGAUAGAGACUUGUACUGUAUAUUUUAUAAAAUUACUUUCUUGGUCAUGUCACUGAUUUUUCAAUAAUUUAAAUGCUCUCAGUAAUGAUGAAGCAUUUAUAGUUGUUGGAGAUCUGACAGAUUAAACCCCUCCUUUCUGUUGCUCAGUUCCUUUUUUUAUAAUGGUUCAAUACUUCAAGCUCGAAGGCAUUGGAAGCCUUGUAGGACAAUGGGUAUUUUAAAAAUACUUUGCAUAUGCCAUCCACAAGCAUUAAAUUGCAUAUCAUUCAAAUGACAAUCUAUAAUGUGUUAACAGUUCUAUAAGACAUUCAGUGAAGAUUUAAAAACUGUAUUGUGAUUCUUUCAAAACAGAUAGCAUUUUUGUGGGUUUCCAUGCUUUUUGUCAUUAUUGAAGCCGAUAACCUUGUCCAAUAUAUCUGCACUAAAUUCAUUAUAUGUCAUUUCCACUCCAUAUCUUCAUCCAGUACUUAAUGCUGCUCUUUGCAAUAUUGCCAGCAUUACCAAUGUCAUCAUAUUUUUAUGUAAGUUAUACUGACAGAUAAUGACCUCAAUUAAGCAAACAGGAAAACAUGAAAAGAACACCAUGAUUAGAUUAAAUAACCAUGGUAAGUGAGUAAGCGAGCAUCCCAUACCUAAAUCAAAGGCUUCUGGCUGUUCUGACAGAAUCAAACAUGAAAGCAUUCCUGUCAAUAAAUAUAACAAGUUUAGUGUAUUGGCAGGUAUGUUUUGCAGAAAAAGGUAUACGAGAUCAAAUUGUAUCAGUAUCAACUCAGUAUUGUGACUCCAGUGGUGUCUGUUAUCAUCUGAUGGAGAACUGAAGAAAAAAUAUUGGUAAUAAUUUAUGAAAGGGAAAGCAGAAAAAAAUUGAACAAUUAUUAGAAGUUUAUACAGUAUAAAGAUUUAUAACUCAUAUUUUGUUUUUUAAAAAAUUUUUAUAUUUACAGUUCAAAGAUUAUCUUCCUUUACACUUCAUAUUUUCCUUUUAAAAUAUGUAUGCUUAUAGUUGUGAUACAUAUAAAUAAACUUUUCAAAAUGUCA